UUGACCUCGGAUCAGGUAGGGAUACCCGCUGAACUUAAGCAUAUCAAUAAGCGGAGGAAAAGAAACCAACAGGGAUUGCCUUAGUAACGGCGAGUGAAGCGGCAAUAGCUCAAAUUUGAAAGCUGGCCCCUUCGGGGUCCGCGUUGUAAUUUGUAGAGGAUGAUUCGGCGAGGGCUCCCGUCUAAGUCCCUUGGAACAGGGCGUCAUAGAGGGUGAGAAUCCCGUAUGUGAUGGGCUGCCUUAGCCAUGUGAAUCUCCUUCGACGAGUCGAGUUGUUUGGGAAUGCAGCUCUAAAUGGGAGGUAAAUUUCUUCUAAAGCUAAAUACCGGCCAGAGACCGAUAGCGCACAAGUAGAGUGAUCGAAAGAUGAAAAGCACUUUGGAAAGAGAGUUAAAAAGUACGUGAAAUUGUUGAAAGGGAAGCGCUUGCAGCCAGACUUGUCCGCAGUUGCUCAGCUUGUCUCCUGACAGGCGUACUCUUCUGCGGCCAGGCCAGCAUCAGUUCGGGCGGUCGGAUAAAGACCUGGGGAAUGUAGCUCCUCUCGGGGAGUGUUAUAGCCCUGGGUGCAAUGCGGCCAGCCUGGACUGAGGAUCUCGCUUCGGCUAGGAUGCUGGCGUAAUGGCUGUAAGCGGCCCGUCU
rnacentral:rRNA from 1 species